rnacentral:rRNA from 1 species
UGGGGAAUUUUGGACAAUGGGCGAAAGCCUGAUCCAGCAAUGCCGCGUGUGUGAAGAAGGCCUUCGGGUUGUAAAGCACUUUUGUCCGGAAAGAAAUCCUUGGCUCUAAUACAGUCGGGGGAUGACGGUACCGGAAGAAUAAGCACCGGCUAACUACGUGCCAGCAGCCGCGGUAAUACGUAGGGUGCAAGCGUUAAUCGGAAUUACUGGGCGUAAAGCGUGCGCAGGCGGUUUGCUAAGACCGAUGUGAAAUCCCCGGGCUCAACCUGGGAACUGCAUUGGUGACUGGCAGGCUAGAGUAUGGCAGAGGGGGGUAGAAUUCCACGUGUAGCAGUGAAAUGCGUAGAGAUGUGGAGGAAUACCGAUGGCGAAGGCAGCCCCCUGGGCCAAUACUGACGCUCAUGCACGAAAGCGUGGGGAGCAAACAGGAUUAGAUACCCUGGUAGUCCACGCCCUAAACGAUGUCAACUAGUUGUUGGGGAUUCAUUCCUUAGUAACGUAGCUACGCGUGAAGUUGACCGCCUGGGGAGUACGGUCGCAAGAUUAAAACUCAAGGAAUUGACGGGGUCAUAGCUGUUUCCU